ACUGAACUAUUGGCAAUUUAUUUUAAAGUAUUUGCUUCAGAUCUUUAACGCAAGACAGAAAACACUCCAAGCAAGUCUGACCUUUUGUUCUACAUCUCAUUCCUCUUUGGAAGGAGCCAGCAUCGGUAACCUGACCAUGCAGCAAGAACUACCAAAAUGUGUAUUUGCUCAACAUCACACAGAAACCACCACCACGAUGUGAGCUACUCUGCUUCACUCUUCAGCAUGAAGCUCUGCCUCAGUACCAGCCCAGAAGCAACAGCACCAGCUGACCCUGGCCUGAAACCUCUGAAGCUCCAAGGCAACACAGUCUUUC